rnacentral:rRNA from 1 species
CAGCCGCCGCGGUAAUACAGAGGGUGCGAGCGUUAACCGGAUUUACUGGGCGUAAAGCGUGCGUAGGCGGCUUUUUAAGUCGGAUGUGAAAUCCCUGAGCUUAACUUAGGAAUUGCAUUCGAUACUGGGAAGCUAGAGUAUGGGAGAGGAUGGUAGAAUUCCAGGUGUAGCGGUGAAAUGCGUAGAGAUCUGGAGGAAUACCGGUGGCGAAGGCGGCCCCCUGGACAAAGACUGACGCUCAGGUGCGAAAGCGUGGGGAGCAAACAGGAUUAGAUACCCCCGUAGUCCCUGUCUCUUAUAC